rnacentral:miRNA from 1 species
CCUGAGCCCAGGCCGCGCAG